AUUGAACGCUGGCGGCAGGCCUAACACAUGCAAGUCGAACGAGUGGCGGACGGGUGAGUAAUGUCUGGGAAACUGCCUGAUGGAGGGGGAUAACUACUGGAAACGGUAGCUAAUACAGCAUACCAUCGGAUGUGCCCAGAUGGGAUUAGCUAGGAGGUGGGGUAAAGGAUCACCUAGGCGACGAUCCCUAGCUGGUCUGAGAGGAUGACCGGCCACACUGCAACUUAUACACGGUCCAUCCGCCUAAGGGAGGCAGCAGUGUGGAAUAUUGCACAAUGGGCGACAGCCUGAUGCAGUCAUGCCGCGUGUAUGAAGAAGGCUUUCGGGUUGUAAAGUACUUUCAGCGGGGAGGCGUUACCCGCAGAAGAAGCACCGGCUAACUCCGUGCCAGCAGCCGCGGUAAUAC
rnacentral:rRNA from 1 species